rnacentral:ribozyme from 1 species
CAAAAAGAAUUAGAAGAAGAAAGAAAAUAUUUUGUACCAAUUGUCUUUUUGGUAGUCUUUAUAAUUCUAUCUUCUUUCUAUGGGCUCUGGGCUUCUUCCUUUCUCACUUCUAAUUCCUGGAGAUAUAAUGGUUAUGUUUGGACCAGCAGUUGAAGGAAAAUAUGAGC